rnacentral:rRNA from 1 species
ACACUCCUGCGGGAGGCAGCAGUGGGGAAUAUUGGACAAUGGGCGCAAGCCUGAUCCAGCCAUGCCGCGUGAGUGAUGAAGGCCCUAGGGUUGUAAAGCUCUUUCACCGGUGAAGAUAAUGACGGUAACCGGAGAAGAAGCCCCGGCUGACUUCGUGCCAGCAGCCGCGGUAAUACGAAGGGGGCUAGCGUUGUUCGGAUUUACUGGGCGUAAAGCGCACGUAGGCGGACUAUUAAGUCAGGGGUGAAAUCCCGGGGCUCAACCCCGGAACUGCCUUUGAUACUGGUAGUCUUGAGUUCGAGAGAGGUGAGUGGAAUUCCGAGUGUAGAGGUGAAAUUCGUAGAUAUUCGGAGGAACACCAGUGGCGAAGGCGGCUCACUGGCUCGAUACUGACGCUGAGGUGCGAAAGCGUGGGGAGCAAACAGGAUUAGAAACCCCAGUAGUCCCAUGAU